UACGUAGGGCGCAAGCGUUGUCCGGAAUUAUUGGGCGUAAAGAGCUCGUAGGCGGUUUGUCGCGUCUGUCGUGAAAGCCCACGGCUUAACCGUGGGUCUGCGGUGGAUACGGGCAGACUAGAGGCAGGUAGGGGAGAAUGGAAUUCCUGGUGUAGCGGUGAAAUGCGCAGAUAUCAGGAGGAACACCGGUGGCGAAGGCGGGUCUCUGGGCCGUAACUGACGCUGAGGAGCGAAAGCAUGGGGAGCGAACAGG
rnacentral:rRNA from 1 species